ACAGUGAUGGUUCAGUGGUAGAAUUCUUGCCUUCCAUGCAGUUGACCCUGGUUCGAUUCCCAGUCGAUGUA
rnacentral:tRNA from 1 species